GUUAGUUUGUUCGUUAGGUUUAACUUUACCGUUAAACCGAACGGAACGUAACCUUAACCUGACUUAAAGUUAAACGUUAAACCNGUAUUUUUUAUCAGGUUGACAACUUCUUAGAGGGACUAUCGGUGUUUAACCGAUGGAAGUUUGAGGCAAUAACAGGUCUGUGAUGCCCUUAGAUGUUCUGGGCCGCACGCGCGCUACACUGAUAAAGUCAACAAGUAAUUAACCUUUGCCGGAAGGCAUGGGUAAUCUUUUGAAACUUCAUCGUGCUGGGGAUAGGGCAUUGCAAUC
rnacentral:rRNA from 1 species